GCCGAUUUAGCUCAGUUGGUAGAGCAGUCGCUUUGUAAGCGAAUGGUCACGUUAAUCGGCACCA
rnacentral:tRNA from 1 species